AUUACAUAAUUGUAUCAACUAAA
rnacentral:snRNA from 1 species